rnacentral:lncRNA from 1 species
AUUGACACUCAAACUGUUGUGCCAGAGUAGAGUUUUGAGAAUCUCUUGGAUUGUAAGAAAAUAAAAUCAGUCAAUACUUAAAAAUUUUAUUCAGACAACUCACUGGAAGGUCAAAUGCUGAAGCUUAAACUAAUAAUCAGGUCAUCAGAAUGCAGGACUCAUUGGAAAGGACCCUGAUGCUGGAAAUAUUGAAGGAAAAAGAAGAAAGAAACAAUGGAGGAUAAGAUGGAUAGAUAGUGUCAUGGAAACAAUGAACAUGAGCUUCAGAAGAUAGUGAAACAUAGAUGAUCCUGGCAUGCUUUGGUUGACAAAUAAACAAUUAAACAACAAUACAAUACAAGUAUUUGAGAAUUGUGAAACAAAGCAUGCUAUUAUCUCAAAGGGAGAUGUUGCUUACUGAGAACUCAAGAAAUGAUUAUGGAGAAGAUAACAUUUGAAUCAGGAUUUUAAGAAUGAGUAGGAAUCCAGUGGUCAAAGAAGUAUAAUCAUAGACUUAUAGGUGGAAAGACCUUAGAGGGCAGAACCAGGAGUAAUGACCAGAAGUCACAAAUUGUCUUAAACAUAGGAAAAGUCUUCUAAAUAAUGAGAUCUACAUUAAAACAGAUGAGUUUCAAGUGAUGAUAGUUUCAAUAGAGAUUUGACUUGGAAAGAGCCAAAGGAAAUGAAGAAAGAUUCAUCAAGAGAUAGGAUAGUGACCAAGAUCUAGAAGAGAGAUUCCUGGGCAGCAUAAUAGUGGUACUGUUACUUGCUGGGUUUUGAUGGCUACUCAUCUAAAAGACUUUGGAAAUACAACAUAUUCUGUAGCAGCUUUUCAAAUCUGUGCUUGCAUAUCAUUUUACUUAUUUAGGGUCUUGUAUGAGAAGAAGAAUAACAGAGAUUAUGGAAGGGAAUCAGAAGUGGUAAAUCUUGAUAAUCCUGAGAAGCACAGAAAGCCUUCAAAGAGCUAA